rnacentral:tRNA from 4 species
GGGCCGUUAGCUCAGUUGGCAGAGCAGCUGACUCUUAAUCAGCGGGUCGAAGGUUCGAAUCCUUCACGGCCCACCA